rnacentral:rRNA from 1 species
CCUACGGGUGGCAGCAGUAGGGAAUCUUCCACAAUGGGCGAAAGCCUGAUGGAGCAACGCCGCGUGGGUGAAGAAGGUCUUCGGAUCGUAAAACCCUGUUGUUAGAGAAGAAAGUGCGUGAGAGUAACUGUUCACGUUUCGACGGUAUCUAACCAGAAAGCCACGGCUAACUACGUGCCAGCAGCCGCGGUAAUACGUAGGUGGCAAGCGUUAUCCGGAUUUAUUGGGCGUAAAGGGAACGCAGGCGGUCUUUUAAGUCUGAUGUGAAAGACUUCGGCUUAACCGGAGUAGUGCAUUGGAAACUGGGAGAGUGGAGUGCAGAAGAGGAGAGUGGAACUCGAUGUGUAGCGGUGAAAUGCGUAGAUAUAUGGAAGAACACCAGUGGAGAAAGCGGCUCUCUGGUCUGUAACUGACGCUGAGGUUCGAAAGCGUGGGUAGCAAACAGGAUUAGAUACCCCAGUAGUC